rnacentral:rRNA from 1 species
AACGAACGCUGGCGGCAGGCCUAAUACAUGCAAGUCGAACGGAUGUAGCAAUACAUUAGUGGCGCACGGGUGCGGAACACGUGGGAACAUACCCUUUGGUAAGGAAUAAUGCCUGGAAACGGACACUAAUACCUUAUAAUGACUUCGGUCCAAAGAUUUAUCGCCAAAGGAUUGGCCCGCGUCUGAUUAGGUAGUUGGUGGGGUAAUGGCCUACCAAGCCUACGAUCAGUAGCUGGUCUGAGAGGAUGAUCAGCCACACUGGAACUGAGACACGGUCCAGACUCCUACGGGAGGCAGCAGUAAGGAAUAUUGGACAAUGGGCGCAAGCCUGAUCCAGCCAUGCCGCGUGAGUGAAGAAGGCCUUAGGGUUGUAAAGCUCUUUCAAUAGUGAAGAUAAUGACGGUAGCUAUAGAAGAAGCCCCGGCUAAAUUCGUGCCAGCCGCCGCCGUAA